rnacentral:misc_RNA from 1 species
UUAGUUAUUGUGUUAAUCACUCGGACAUCACUAUAAAAACGAUUGUAAAGGCCACUGGCGGGCGGCACUGACCUGGAACGGACCCACAGCCGGCGGUGAGAACCCUCACGGCCCGCCAAAGCAACAAAGGUAGAUAGACACAGGGUGAAGAGCAGAGGGCCCGUGAGCCCCCCGGGACAAAUGCCCCAUUCUCUCGGUAAUGAUCCUUCCGCAGGUUCACCUACGGAAA